rnacentral:rRNA from 1 species
GACGAACGCUGGCGGCGUGCUUAACACAUGCAAGUCGAACGCUGAGGCCUAGCUUGCUGGGUGGAUGAGUGGCGAACGGGUGAGUAACACGUGAGUAACCUGCCCUCUUCUUUGGGAUAACGCCCGGAAACGGGUGCUAAUACUGGAUAUUCACUGAUCUUCGCAUGGGGGUUGGUGGAAAGGUUUUUUCUGGUGGGGGAUGGGCUCGCGGCCUAUCAGCUUGUUGGUGGGGUGAUGGCCUACCAAGGCUUUGACGGGUAGCCGGCCUGAGAGGGUGACCGGUCACAUUGGGACUGAGAUACGGCCCAGACUCCUACGGGAGGCAGCAGUGGGGAAUAUUGCACAAUGGGCGAAAGCCUGAUGCAGCGACGCCGCGUGAGGGAUGGAGGCCUUCGGGUUGUAAACCUCUUUCGCUCAUGGUCAAGCCGCAGCUUUGGGUUGUGGUGAGGGUAGUGGGUAAAGAAGCGCCGGCUAACUACGUGCCAGCAGCCGCGGUAAUACGUAGGGCGCGAGCGUUGUCCGGAAUUAUUGGGCGUAAAGGGCUUGUAGGCGGUUGGUCGCGUCUGCCGUGAAAUCCUCUGGCUUAACUGGGGGGCGUGCGGUGGGUACGGGCUGACUUGAGUGCGGUAGGGGAGACUGGAACUCCUGGUGUAGCGGUGGAAUGCGCAGAUAUCAGGAAGAACACCGGUGGCUAAUGCGGGUCUCUGUGUCCGUUGCUGACGCUGAGGAGCGAAAAGCGUGGGGAGCGAACAUG